AUUUAUAUAGUAUAAUAAGUAUAUAUGACUUCCAAUCAUAAGGUUUAAAUUUUAAUAUAAAUA
rnacentral:tRNA from 2 species